rnacentral:rRNA from 1 species
CCUCGGGGGGCAGCAGUGGGGAAUAUUGGACAAUGGGCGAAAGCCUGAUCCAGCCAUGCCGCGUGUGUGAAGAAGGCCUUCGGGCUGUAAAGCACUUUCAGUGGGGAAGAAAGCCUUGGGGCUAAUACCCUCGAGGAAGGACAUCACCCACAGAAGAAGCACCGGCUAACUCCGUGCCAGCAGCCGCGGUAAUACGGAGGGUGCGAGCGUUAAUCGGAAUUACUGGGCGUAAAGCGCGCGUAGGCGGUCUGAUAAGCCGGUUGUGAAAGCCCCGGGCUCAACCUGGGAACGGCAUCCGGAACUGUCAGGCUAGAGUGCAGGAGAGGAAGGUAGAAUUCCCGGUGUAGCGGUGAAAUGCGUAGAGAUCGGGAGGAAUACCAGUGGCGAAGGCGGCCUUCUGGACUGACACUGACGCUGAGGUGCGAAAGCGUGGGUAGCAAACAGGAUUAGAUACCCGAGUAGUC